CCAGUUCGGUGUUUUCGAAAGAAGAGGGGAGAGGAAUCAAAGAUUUUCCAUUUCUUCGGACCCUUCAAUCUCUUUUGAAAAUAUCGAACCAAAUUCACCGGCCGAACAGAUCCGCGCCACCGACAUCAUCUUCACUGCCGUCAUCUCCAGCAUCGCUAGUUCAGUAUUUUCGAAAGAAGAGGGAAGGAGAAUCAAAGAUUCUCCGUUUCUUCGGACCCUUAAAUCUCUUUUGAAAAUAUCAAACCAAAUUCGCCGACCGAACAGAUCCACACCACCGACAUCAUCUUCACCGCCGUCAUCUCUAGAAUCACCUAUUCAAAGAUUCCCCGUUUCUUCGGACGCCGAACCAAAUCGAACUGCAGAAUCAAAACGAGAAUUUCUUCGGACCCCAAAUCAGAACCAAAACGGGGAUUUCUUCGGACCCCAAAUCAGAACAAAAAUGGGGAUUUCUUCGAACCCCAAAUCAGAACCAAACGGAAAUUUCUUCGGACCCCAAAUCAGAAUCAAAACGAGAACUUCUUCGAACCCCAAAUCAGAAUCAAAACGGGAACUUCUUCGAACCCCAAAUCGAAUCAAAACGGAAAUUUCUUCGGACCCCAAAUCAGAAUCAAAACGGAGAAUUCUUCGGACCCCAAAUUAGAACCAAACGGGGAUUUCUCCGGACCCCAAAUCAGAACCAAAACGGAAAUUUCUUCGGACCCCAAAUCAAAACCAAAACGGGAAUUUCUUUGGACCCCAAAU
rnacentral:lncRNA from 1 species